rnacentral:rRNA from 1 species
UACGUAGGCAGCAAGCGUUGUUCGGAAUUAUUGGGCGUAAAGAGUGUGUAGGCGGUGUUCCAAGUCUGUUGUGAAAUCUCCCGGCUUAACUGGGAGGGUGCGGCGGAAACUGGAAUGCUAGAGGGUGGGAGAGGUAAGCGGAAUUCCUGGUGUAGCGGUGAAAUGCGCAGAUAUCAGGAGGAACACCGGUGGCGAAGGCGGGUCUCUGGGCCGAUGACUGACGCUGAGGAGCGAAAGCGUGGGGAGCGAACAGG